UCCACUCGCAACCCGAGUCAGGAUGUGGUCGCACGCGCUCGCCCUCGCCCUUUGGGCUCUCCUGAUUCCGGGAUCUUCUGCCGAGGAUUUUCUGAGGCAGACGGACAGAGUCAAGGCCGUUUCUCUUGGGGGCACGGUGACCAUCACUGCCACGGCGAAUUCAAACACUGGAAAUGAUCUCAGUUGGUACCAAGUGAAACCUGGACAGGCUCCCAAACUCCUCAUCUACUACGCAACCAAUCUCUUCUCUGGCACGCCAUCUCGAUUCAGCGGCACACGAUCCGGCUCCGACUACACUCUGACCAUCAGAGGUGUCCAGGCGGAAGACGUGGCUGAUUAUUACGCUUUUGCCUGGUACGGCUCCGGAAGGUUCACACGGUGAUUCAGAGGCGUACAAAAACCUCUUUUGGACUUUGAGAGAAGUGAAAGUCGCCUGCGGAAGGUGCCAAG